AACAUCGCGCACCUGCGGGAACCUGCGGAAGGAUCAUUAAUGAUUGGUAGCUGUUGCUGACUAGUGUUUCUAGUAUGUGCACGCCACACCUUCAAUCCCACUUACACCUGUGCACCUUCUGUAAUAGAUCUAUGUGGAUACGGAGAUAUGAAAGUUUGCGCUCUCGUACUCUGUUGAAGCAGUCUACUACGUUUUUUUACACACACACAAUAGUCAUUGAAUGUAUUUUUUAUUCUUAUG
rnacentral:misc_RNA from 1 species